GAGAGUAUAGCUUAGUGGUAGAGUGCUAUGCUUAGCAUGCACGAGGUCCUGGGUUCAACCCCCAGUACCUCCA
rnacentral:tRNA from 1 species